rnacentral:rRNA from 1 species
UACAGAGGGGGCAAGCGUUGUUCGGAAUUACUGGGCGUAAAGGGCGCGUAGGCGGCCUGUUAAGUCGAACGUGAAAUCCCCGGGCUCAACCCGGGAACUGCGUCCGAUACUGGCAGGCUUGAAUUCGGGAGAGGGAUGUGGAAUUCCGCGUGUAGCAGUGAAAUGCGUAGAUAUGCGGAGGAACACCGAUGGCGAAGGCAAUCCCCUGGACCUGUACUGACGCUCAUGCACGAAAGCGUGGGGAGCAAACAGG